CCUACGGGAGGCAGCAGUGGGGGAUAUUGCACAAUGGGGGAAACCCUGAUGCAGCGACGCCGCGUGAGUGAAGAAGUAUUUCGGUAUGGAAAGCUCUAGCAGCAGGGAACGAAAUGACAGGAACUGACCAAGAAGCCCCGGCUAACUACGGGCCAGGAGCCGCGGGAAAGCGUAGGGGGCAAGCGUUAUCCCGAUUUACUGGGUGUAAAGGGGACGUAAACGGUGAUGGAAGUCUGGAGUGAAAGCCCAGGGCCCAACCCCGGGACUGCUUUGGAAACUGUGUAACUGGAGUACAGGAGGGGCAGGCGGAAUUCCUGGUGUAGCGGUGAAAUGCGUAGAUAUCAGGAGGAACACCGGCGGCGAAGGCGGCCUGCUGGACUGAAACUGACGUUGAGGCUCGAAAGCGUGGGGAGCAAACAGGAUUAGAUACCCCGGUAGUC
rnacentral:rRNA from 1 species